rnacentral:rRNA from 1 species
UACGUAGGGUGCGAGCGUUGUCCGGAAUUACUGGGCGUAAAGAGCUCGUAGGCGGUUUGUCGCGUUGUUCGUGAAAACUCACAGCUCAACUGUGGGCGUGCGGGCGAUACGGGCAGACUGGAGUACUGCAGGGGAGACUGGAAUUCCUGGUGUAGCGGUGAAAUGCGUAGAUAUCAGGAGGAACACCGAUGGCGAAGGCAGCUCGCUGGGACGGUACUGACGCUGAGGCGCGAAAGCGUGGGGAGCGAACAGG